CACGUAGGGCGCAAGCGUUGUCCGGAAUUAUUGGGCGUAAAGAGCUCGUAGGCGGUCUGUUGCGUCCGCUGUGAAAACUCGGGGCUUAACCCCGAGCCUGCAGUGGAUACGGGCAGACUAGAGGUAGGUAGGGGAGAAUGGAAUUCCCGGUGUAGCGGUGAAAUGCGCAGAUAUCGGGAGGAACACCGGUGGCGAAGGCGGCUCACUGGCUCAUUUCUGACGCUCAGGCGCGACAGCGUGGGGAUCAAACAGG
rnacentral:rRNA from 1 species